AUACGUAGGUGACAAGCGUUAUCCGGAUUUACUGGGCGUAAAGGGCGUGUAGGCGGUCUUGCAAGUCAGAAGUGAAAUUCCUGAGCUCAACUCGGGCGCUGCUUCUGAAACUGCCGGACUUGAGUGCUGGAGGGGAUAGCGGAAUUCCUAGUGGAGCGGUAAAAUGCGCAGAUAUUAGGAAGAACACCGGUGGCGAAGGCGGCUAUCUGGACAGUAACUGACGCUGAGGCGCGAAAGCGUGGGGAGCAAACAGGAUUAGAUACCCUGGUAGUCCACGCAGUAAACGAUGAUGGCUAACCGCUGGGCUUAUCAGUUCAGUGGCCAAGCGAAAGCGAUAAGCCAUCCACCUGGGGAGUACGACCGCAAGGUUGAAACUCAAAUGAAUUGGCGGGG
rnacentral:rRNA from 1 species